GGUUAGGAUUCGGCGCUCUCACCGC
rnacentral:piRNA from 4 species